UCCUCUCUCAAACCCCGUGUUUGGUGUUGGACCGCGUUGGACCGCCUCCAUGGCCCAACUGGUCUCAAAGACAAUGACGGCGUCCCAGGGACCCUCUUCGCACUGAGUUCUCCGGAGCACGCGUAGAGUUUCAAGGGCCCAGGGACCCGGUCACCUUUAUUAUUUUUUCUA
rnacentral:misc_RNA from 1 species